rnacentral:lncRNA from 1 species
UUUCCCUCUCAUUUUCAUUUCCAAAUAAGUUCUAUUUUCCUUAAAAAAUAUCUUCAUUGACUUUCAUCGAAACUUUUGGGAGAUCAGAUUCAGAGAGAGAAAACGGAAAUUGUGGAGUUUAGAGAGAGAAAGUAGGAAAUGUGGAGAGAGUCUGUUAGGGUUUCUGGAAAUGGACUACCCUGAAUCUACCAUACCCUCCGCAGGGGACGCUACUGAAACUGUUCCCGUCCAAGUACAAGAACGGAACUCUAUACCUUUUCUAUAAAUAAAAUAUGUAAAAUUGGGGAAUUUUAUACCUUUUUUUUUCAUACGAUUUCGUUUGGGUUAAUUAAUUUUUUUUUAUGAAAUUUACACACAUGGACACAAAAUGUAUGCCAUUUAGAUGUGUAAAUUUAUAGCAUUUUUUUAGUUUUUACUUGACUUUAUGUGCAUAAAUUAAUUUUAAGCUGAUUUGCACUAUUUUGGUAAUGGGGUGAGGAUUUUAGUUGAAUUUUUAGAUGGGUAUUGUAAUUUUAUAUCUGUGUAAUGUGUUUUCCCUUUUGGUAAAUUUAGAUACUAUGUGGCACUGUACUCGGUCUCAUAUCAUUUAAUUUUUCGUUCUCCCAAGAAAUGCAUCUGGUUCAUGUUUUUGACAGUUAACUUAAACCAAUCUGCUCUAGCAUCUUAUCAUACUCUACUCAUCUAUACAGAAGCACAUAUGUUGCAUGGACCAUUCAUCGAUGCUUUGAAUUGUGAAGUAAGAUUAUCCUGUUAAAACAAUCUGUAAAAUUGAUGCCAAAUGUAAUUUGAAGCAUAAUUCUCUUAGGCAUUAUUUAAUCUUUGUGAACAAUGGUUUAAACUAUAUUGUUUGUUAUCGAUUUCUAUUAGAAGUGCUUAAUUUGAUUUGGAUUUUUUUUUUUUUUAAAGAAAAAGAAAUUCAACAUGUUGCAUCAAUUGUGCUGAGCUUUAGGUAGUUCGGAUUUUGACUUUCUUCAAUUUUGGUGCCAUAUGACACAUGCUAAAAAUGAUAGAAGGUACUCUGUUUAUUGAUGUCGAUAACAUUUUGGUCGCAGUCAUACAUGUCAAUGGAUCUUAAGAGCAUAUGUCAUAGUUAUAUGAUAAUAAACCAAUAUUUAGAGAGGAUGCACAUGUAUCUCCAAUUUAUAUGGAUAGAGAAGUUUGUUGAAUUAUAACCUUUAGCACUCACAUUAAUUGAAAAAAUUAUAAGCAUUUUUGCACAUAUAAAUCACAUACUAAGUUCUAGUAGAUUUUAUUUAAAUGGCAAGUAUAGAAAAUAAUUUUUGCUUGGAUUCUAGUGAAACAAUAUCUUGGAGUGAAGAAAGUAAUUUUUGCUUGGGUUCUAGGGAAACAAUAUCUUGGAAUUUUGAAAAUUGCUCUUUGUUAAAUCAGGUAUUAAACAUUACUAGAAAUUUUAACUCACAAGGUUUGUACAAAUUUAUUAGGCUGCUCAACACCAUGGCUUGCAUGUACGUAGUCUCCAGUUUGAAGAUGCUCAGCAGAAAGUAGUAACAAAUAGGCAUGUACAAAACACUUCAGGUAUUGAAAAUAGUUCUAGGCCACUUGCCUCUUCUGCAGAUAGAGGGGGCCCCAAAUCACUAUCCUUGGAGACACCAUCAACUCCCAUUCGUCGGGUUGGUAUGACCCAGCAUACGGAUUAUCCUGGAAAUAGUGGGAAUUAUAGCAUAAAUUUUCCAAAGCCCGUAGGUAUUGGCUUGCACCUAAAUAGCAUUGUCAGCACUACGCAAGCAGGAACUGGAGAAACUGUAAUUGUGAAAUCAUCUGAAAAGGGUAUUUUAAGUAUACGGAAUGAGCAACAAGUGACUACUCUGAGCUCUCAUCUAUCUGAAAACUCAAAGAACUCUUCAUAUUUGUCUGUGUUGGAGAGUGUUCUCGGAAGUCCUGAUGAAAGUAGGCGUGAAAGUGAUCAUGCCUUGGUGGCAGCUAAUUCUGCUAUUUCUGUGUCCACUUAUGACGCAAAACCUUUGGACAACCCUAUGGUCUGUAAUCCAAUUGAGGAUCAAUCAACUCCAGUUAACAAGAGGAAGUCUAACGCUGGAAAUGCUGAUGAUGCAGAGGAGUUUAACAAGUCAAGCCCCAAAAGGAAGAGGCAAGCCUACAACUUAUCUUAUGAAUAAUGAGUUUUAUUAGUUGUCUCCAUUUUUACUACAUUAUUUUAGCUGCAAUUUUUCCAGGAAGAAAACACCCGAGUCCAAUGAUGAUUACAGUAGCAAACUUUGCAACUGCAAGAAGUCUAAAUGCUUGAAGCUGUAAGCGCAUAAAAUGUUUUCUUACAAAUUUAGAUUUACACUUCUAUCACGUGCUUUUGUAAUUUGUUUCCUUGUAGUUACUGUGAUUGCUUUGCUGCUGGAAUAUAUUGUGCGGAACCUUGUUCUUGCCAAGGGUGCUAUAACAGGCCUGAAUAUGAGGAUACGGUUCUAGAGACACGCCAACAAAUUGAAUCUCGCAAUCCUCUGGCAUUUGCUCCAAAGAUAGUACAGAACUUCAUUUAUCCAUCUUCAAGCAUUUGUGGGGUAUUGAGGCAUCGAAAUUUAUAAUUUUGCUGUACAACAGUGCAAUGUUAACUGAAUUAUUAAGUUGAAAUGUUCACAGGAAGAUGAGACUCAGUUAUCAAAGCCCUCCAUAAGGCACAAAAGAGGGUGCAAUUGCAAGAAGUCGAUGUGCCUCAAAAAGUACUGUGAGUGCUAUCAGGUACGUGGGUGUGCUUAUGGGCAUGAUUAUCUACGUUGUUUUUUCGUGGGGUUGGGGCUUAGAACCUCUGAGUCAUGCUAAGUACUACUUAAUUGCAUUUGCUCUUAUAAAAUGAGUUUUUUUACCUUAUGAUAGGCAAAAGUUGGUUGUUCUGAUGGAUGUCGAUGCGAAGGAUGUAAAAAUGACUAUGGCCAAAAGGGAGGUAUGAUUUGCAUUUGAAGUUCUGUUAUCACAUUGCAUGAGAUUCUACUUGUUAAUACUCAGGAGACUUGAGGAAUAGCUAUUAAUGUGUCUGAACAGGCAAAUAAGACUAUAAGAAUAUGAAUUGCUCUCUAUGGAAAUGACCUGGAGAUGCUCCCUAUAUAUCUAAGUAGAAAAAUAUGCUGCUUGCUUAGCAGGUUUAGCUUUGUUUGAACACUGUUAAAUCUGGACUAGUUUUCUUAUGUGUUUCUUAUUGCCUCUAUUUUAUUUUAUUUAUUUAUUUAUUUUUCAGUCUGUAUAAGGUUUUGAAUUUGGGGGUACCAAUGAGAGUAUAAUGACAAGUACGAAAAUAGAUAUUUUCUUGUACUCCAACAAAGUGAUAUAUAGCAAUUUUAAGUUAUUAUAAAGUAUAUCUCUGAACUUUUUGUGGUUUCAUUUCUAUUUGAACUGGAUGCUCCAUCUUUCAGAAUAUGGCAUGGAUAACGUCGUGGGCAUGCAAGGUUCUGAUGAAACAACAGAUGGCUCCUCUGUUGAAAAACUUGAAAUGGUGGGGUCUGGAAAUGCUUUGUAUCAUACUGAGCUAAGCAAUCCUCAUAAUUUGACUCCUCUGACACCAUCAUUCCAAUACUCAGAGUAAGAUUAGUUCUUUCUAGAUACAUUUCGAUUCCCAUGCACUUAAUUUCUGGUUAAAUGAUUAGCUAGGUACUUGAAAUUUGAAAUAGCUUUGUGGGCAAAUAUCUUUCCUUUUUCUCCUGAAAUUGUGCAGCCAGGGAAAAGGUGCAUCAAAAGCUUGGUUCUCUUCUGGAAAAUACUUCCAUUCACCAGAAUCUGGUCCCACCUUUGGGGCACCAUGCAUCACGUUCCCAAGGUCUCCUGGGAAUGUGUAUAAUUCUGAUAUGAUCUCAGAAUCUUCUAAAGAAAUUCUGGAUCUAGAUUCUUUUGAUCAUGAACUAGAUUACCACAAAGCAGAAGCGGUCAAUGACUUCUCAUUUGGGCACCAUGGACCUGGCAAUAAGGAGCUUCUUGCUGGUCCGCUAAAUGCAGGAGAAUCGGAAAACAAUUGGAAAGUUCAACCAUUUUCUGGAAGUGGACAUUUUUCUCCAGCAAGCUCCCUUCGUUGGCGUGGUUCACCGAUCACCCCUAUGGCUCAGUUUAGUGGGACUAAACUUCCUCAAGCUGCUGACUAUUAUGAUGGUUUACACAACAUUCUGGAAGAUGACACACCAGAGAUUCUGAAGGACACUCCUAACCCACUCAAUGCUGUGAAAGUAAGAUCUCCAAAUAAGAGGCAAGUUUCUCCCCCUCAUGAACAUUCGCUUGAGCUGGGUUCAACGUCAUCAGAAGGCCUGAGAAUUUCUCGCAAGUUCAUACUGCAAGCCGUUCCCUCAUUCCCACCUCUUACGCCUUGUGUUGAAUCUAAAAACGCUAGACAAAAAAAGACAUAAUCCGCAGAAUUGUAGCAACAACAGCAUAUGAGAUGAAGCAUAUGAGGUAAGUGUUGACAAUUACAUCGUGGGAGAAUGGAUGUUAUGCCCAGCAGGUUUUUUUGAGCAUGAUUUCACAAUGUUAUCCUGUUAUUUCACCAUUAGCACGUCUGUUUCUCUUCAGGACCUGCUCUAUACCCUCAAAUGGUUUUUCAUCCAUAUCAAUGAAAGCAACCUUUAGGUCACUAUAAUCUGCCAGGUAUAGGCAUUACUUGCAACAUGUUUGGUAGAAAGUAUUGGACAGCUUUAACAUGAUCAAGAAAGAAAAAGAUAAGAAACUAAAAUCAUUCAGGUUCAAUACUGCGGACUAAACAUGUACUUUGGAGCAUAAGCUCAAUUCAUCUUCUAAUCCUGCUUUUUAAAUGUCCUCAUUAGAAACCGAAGUUGCAACGCUUUUCGAGGCUCCAAAUACAAAAAUGAAAGAAAGCCUCAAGUAGAAUGGAAGAUUUCCAAAUGUACAGCAUCCUGUCCAACCCCCUUCAUGUUCAUACUUUCUAGAUGUUAAACAGAUGCUGCAUGCUGCUAUACUCUAUUGGUUAGGAAAAAAACAAGUCGGCCUUUUUGAUUUUCCAUGACGAUGAAUACCAUGUUCUGAGGGAAAGAGACUUGUAUUUUUUUGGCAUUUAAUUUCAAUGAGUACAUUCUCUAAUAAUAAAAUUUGAGCCUUGACUCAAGUCAGUGUAUAAAAUUAAUAAUCUUGAUUAAUGUAUUAAAUUAUAAAUUUAUUUAAAUCCUUUAGAG